GCCAUCGUGGCGGAAUUGGCAGACGCGCACGGUUCAGGUCCGUGUUCCUUCACCGGAGUAGGAGUUCGACUCUCCUCGAUGGCA
rfam:Acidobacteria bacterium 13_1_40CM_3_56_11 13_1_40cm_3_scaffold_4010, whole genome shotgun sequence.